rnacentral:rRNA from 1 species
GGCUCAGGAUGAACGCUAGCGGCAGGCUUAACACAUGCAAGUCGAGGGGUAUAGUAGCAAUACUAGAGACCGGCGCACGGGUGCGUAACGCGUAUGCAAUCUACCUUUUACAGAGGGAUAGCCCAGAGAAAUUUGGAUUAAUACCUCAUAGCAUUGCGAAAUGGCAUCAUUUUGCAAUUAAAGUCACAACGGUAAAAGAUGAGCAUGCGUCCCAUUAGCUAGUUGGUAAGGUAACGGCUUACCAAGGCAACGAUGGGUAGGGGUCCUGAGAGGGAGAUCCCCCACACUGGUACUGAGACACGGACCAGACUCCUACGGGAGGCAGCAGUGAGGAAUAUUGGACAAUGGGCGCAAGCCUGAUCCAGCCAUGCCGCGUGCAGGAUGACGGUCCUAUGGAUUGUAAACUGCUUUUGUACGAGAAGAAACACUCCGACGUGUCGGAGCUUGACGGUAUCGUAAGAAUAAGGAUCGGCUAACUCCGUG